rnacentral:rRNA from 1 species
UAGGGAAUCUUCCGCAAUGGACGAAAGUCUGACGGAGCAACGCCGCGUGAGUGAUGAAGGUUUUCGGAUCGUAAAGCUCUGUUGUUAGGGAAGAACAAGUACCUGUUGAAUAAGCAGGUACCUUGACGGUACCUAACCAGAAAGCCACGGCUAACUACGUGCCAGCAGCCGCGGUAAUACGUAGGUGGCAAGCGUUGUCCGGAAUUAUUGGGCGUAAAGCGCGCGCAGGCGGUUCCUUAAGUCUGUUGUGAAAGCCCACGGCUCAACCGUGGAGGGUCAUUGGAAACUGGGGAACUUGAGUGCAGAAGAGGAGAGCGGAAUUCCACGUGUAGCGGUGAAAUGCGUAGAGAUGUGGAGGAACACCAGUGGCGAAGGCGGCUCUCUGGUCUGUAACUGACGCUGAGGCGCGAAAGCGUGGGGAGCGAACAG